AGUGAACGCUGGCGGCAGGCCUAACACAUGCAAGUCGAACGGCAGCACGGCAGUAGCAAUACUGUGGGUGGCGAGUGGCGGACGGGUGAGGAAUACAUCGGGAUCUACCCUGUUGUGGGGGAUAACGUAGGGAAACUUACGCUAAUACCGCAUAAGAACUGAGGUUGAAAGCGGCGGACCGCAAGGCGUCGCGCGAUUGGAUGAACCGAUGUCCGAUUAGCUAGUUGGCGGGGUAAAGGCCCACCAAGGCGACGAUCGGUAGCUGGUCUGAGAGGACGACCAGCCACACUGGAACUGAGACACGGUCCAGACACCUACGGGAGGCAGCAGUGGGGAAUAUUGGACAAUGGGCGCAAGCCUGAUCCAGCCAUGCCGCGUGGGUGAAGAAGGCC
rnacentral:rRNA from 1 species